GGGCUAUGACUGGGACCUAAGCACUUCAAUCGCAAAUUCGCAAUCAAUUCCUUAUGGAUGUCCUAAACUAUUGAGAGGUCUCAAAGGAGAGUGGAGAUCAAAACUAAAUACUUCUCCACCCAAGUCACACCAUGGUCAAUUCAACAUUGGGCACAAGAGCGCAGGCUACUCCACAAAGCCUAGAUCAAGCUUGAGAAUCUUCCCCUAUUUUGCAAAAAUUUGAAUGCCCUGUGGAAGAUAAUUAUUGAUUUUAAGUUGUUUGACAAGAUCUCUCCAUUCCACUUUCC
rnacentral:lncRNA from 1 species